UAAGCAUAUCAAUAAGCGGAGGAAAAGAAACCAACAGGGAUUGCCUCAGUAACGGCGAGUGAAGCGGCAAAAGCUCAAAUUUGAAAUCCCUCAGGGAAUUGUAUUUUGAAGGUUGACAGAGAUUGAAGGAUUCUUCUUAAGUUCAUUGGAAAAUGACGCCAUAGAGGGUGAUAGCCCCGUGAAGAAACCAAAUCCAUCUAUUUCUCUGUUCUCCAAAGAGUCGAGUUGUUUGGGAAUGCAGCUCUAAGUGGGUGGUAAAUUCCAUCUAAAGCUAAAUAUUGGCGAGAGACCGAUAGCGAACAAGUACAGUGAUGGAAAGAUGAAAAGCACUUUGAAAAGAGAGUGAAAAAGUACGUGAAAUUGUUGAAAGGGAAGGGCUUGCAAGCAGACACAACCUCGUGUUGGGCCAGCAUCGGGGCGAGGGGAAGUAAAACAGUCAAGAAAUAUAACUCCCCUUCGGGGAGCAUUACAGUCUUUGUCCUACCACUUCCAUCUCAUCCCGAGGCCUGCGAAUUCUUCAAGGAUGCUGGCGUAAUGGUUGCAAGUCGCCCGUCUUGAAACACGGACCAAGGAGUCUAACGUCUAUGCGAGUGUUUGGGUAAAUAAAACCCAUCCGCGCAAUGAAAGUAAUAGAAGGGAACCCGUAUGGGCCCACCUUCGACCACAUUAAGACCUAAAUCCUAAUGUGAGUAAGCAUGGCUGUUGGGACCCGAAAGAUGGUGAACUAUACCUGGAUAGGGUGAAGCCAGAGGAAACUCUGGUGGAGGCUCGUAGCGGUUCUGACGUGCAAAUCGAUCGUCGAAUCUGGGUAUAGGGGCGAAAGACUAAUCGAACCAUCUAGUAGCUGGUUCCUGCCGA
rnacentral:rRNA from 1 species